GGUUUUUGAGCGAUUGAAAGCUGUGCGGUGUUCUGGCUUGUUUUUUCUUCGUAUUAAAGGUGUAAUCGUAAGGUUUGCGCAAGAUAUCAGCUGCAGGGGAAGCGAAGUUCUACCUGUUUUCAUAACACUACGUGUGCGUAGCUCGAUUUACAUAAUGACGUCAGACUCGGCGGCCAUUUUACCGGAAGAUGACGUCAUUAUCAAUCAGCGGAUGCUCGCACACGAUCUGCACAAAGCCCUGAUUAAGGUGUUCCUAUGCAAAGGCAGCCAGUUAACUCAGAGUAUGACUUCAUCGCAAAUUAAUAAUUUGCUAAAGGAAUACAGUUAUAGAGGCAGCGAUUUGAGGUAUAUGUCGUCGAGGCGUCGCGAUACUUACAGUUACAAUUAGAUUAAUUAUUUUCUUGAACUGUAUCGUCGUAUCAAAACGUCAUCAGAAGGGUUUUGGCGAAACGAUUUUUCCCAUUUCGAAUAUUAAAUUCAAAUGAAUUUAUUUGAUAAUAUAUUUAGAUAUUAUAAUUAAGCAAUAAAGUGAAGAUAAAUAUAAGUAUAAUGUGUAGCAAAACGUGAUAUUCAAUUUCUCUUUACUAUUGUUAUUUAGAUUUAUUAUUCUAUAAAAAGGAAAUCAUAAAACUAAAUAAUAAAUGGUAUUAAACAUUGAAACCAAAUUGUAAGAACUAAGUUCAUCUUCAUAUCAGUGUUUUUAUGAUUUUUAUACAUUUAUUAAAAAUAUCAAGUCGUUUUA